GAUGAAGAACGUAGCGAAAUGCGAUAAGUAAUGUGAAUUGCAGAAUUCAGUGAAUCAUCGAAUCUUUGAACGCACAUUGCGCCCGCCAGUAUUCUGGCGGGCAUGCCUGUUCGAGCGUCAUUUCAACCCUCAAGACCCCCUGGGGUGUUGCUGUUGGGGACCGGCACCGCCGCCCCCGAAAUGAAUCGGCGGUCUCGUCGCGGCCUUCCUUUGCGCAGUAGCAUACCACCUCGCAAGCGGGAGCGCGGCGCGGCCACGGCCGUAAAACGCCCAACUUCUCUCAAGAGUUGACCUCGAAUCAGGUAGGAAUACCCGCUGAACUUAAGCAUAUCAAUAAGCGGAGGA
rnacentral:misc_RNA from 1 species